rnacentral:rRNA from 1 species
CCUACGGGUGGCAGCAGUGAGGAAUAUUGGUCAAUGGGCGGGAGCCUGAACCAGCCAAGUCGCGUGAGUGAAGACGGUACAGCGUAUCGUAAACCUCUUUUGUCAGGGAACAAAGGCGGGGACUAGUCCCCGGAUGAGGGUACCUGAAGAAAAAGCAUCGGCUAACUCCGUGCCAGCAGCCGCGGUAAUACGGAGGAUGCGAGCGUUAUCCGGGUUUAUUGGGUUUAAAGGGGGCGCAGGUGGCCUUUUAAGUCAGCGGUAAAAGCCCGGGGCUCAACCCAGGAGAGCCGUUGAAACUGGCGGGCUGGAGUGGAGGUGAGGUACGCGGAAUGCGCGGUGUAGCGGUGAAAUGCUUAGAUAUCGCGCAGAACCCCGAUUGCGAAGGCAGCGUACCGACUCCACACUGACGCUGAGGCACGAAAGCGUGGGUAUCGAACAGGAUUAGAUACCCCAGUAGUC